CAUUACGUUACGACAAGCAUUAGAUGUCUGAUGCCAGAAUUUCUCUCAAUUCACUCCCAAACACAUUUAUAAUACAUUUCUCAACCACCUGACGCACAUCUAACAACAACACCAUCCUUUAUAAAGACAUUUCCAAUAUCAGAUGACAUUGGCAUAACUGAAGAUACAUUCUCAUUAUUUAUCAUCUUUUAAAGACCAAAAUGGAAAUAUUGUACAGAACAGAUAUAUAAGAUUGUUUCUAUAAAUCUGUGGUGGAAUUCCUCUGAUAUAUUUACUCCGAAAUGUGUUAUUAGCAAACCUUCUGGACAUCACUGACUGGAGUGUCUGCAAGAUGAGUCUUUAUGUAAAUUAAACUUGGAUAAAUUUACUAAAGAGCUUUGGGACAAAGGUAACACUGGACAGAAAUACAGCAGUCGAAAUAUUUGGAAACAAAAGACUAUAGAAGCAAGCAAGAAGAAAAAAAUAUAUAUAUAUAUAUAUAUAUAUUGUGAUUUUCCAUGAAAAAUAAUGG